rnacentral:misc_RNA from 1 species
AACGGUCUAUACCUGCGGUACCUGCGGAAGGAUCAUUACAGAAAUAAACUUGAUAGGUUGUAGCUGACUCUAUUCUUGAGUAUUGUGCACACCUAUCAUUUUUAUCUUUCCACCAUGUGCACCUUGCAUAGGUCUGAUAAUCAAAGUCUACUUUGAUGUGUUGGGAACUGCUAUUUGUUGUAAUGGCUUUUCCUUGUAUUUCAGACUCUAUGAUUUUUUAUAUACACCAUGUAUGUUGAA